rnacentral:rRNA from 1 species
AUUGAACGCUGGCGGCAGGCCUAACACAUGCAAGUCGAACGGUAACAGGAAACAGCUUGCUGUUUCGCUGACGAGUGGCGGACGGGUGAGUAAUGUCUGGGAAACUGCCUGAUGGAGGGGGAUAACUACUGGAAACGGUAGCUAAUACCGCAUAACGUCGCAAGACCAAAGAGGGGGACCUUCGGGCCUCUUGCCCUCGGAUGUGCCCAGAUGGGAUUAGCUUGUUGGUGGGGUAACGGCUCACCAAGGCGACGAUCCCUAGCUGGUCUGAGAGGAUGACCAGCCACACUGGAACUGAGACACGGUCCAGACUCCGACGGGAGGCAGCAGUGGGGAAUAUUGCACAAUGGGCGCAAGCCUGAUGCAGCCAUGCCGCGUGUAUGAAGAAGGCCUUCGGGUUGUAAAGUACUUUCAGCGGGGAGGAAGGGAGUAAAGUUAAUACCUUUGCUCAUUGACGUUACCCGCAGAAGAAGCACCGGCUAACUCCGUG